ensembl:miRNA
AGAUAAUGUAGGGCUUUCUUAAUGUAGCUCAUUAAGAAAGUGCUUCUGGGGCUGGAGAGAUGGCUCAGCCAUUAAAGGCCAGGCUCACAACCAAAAAUA